AAGACUCUGCUUUCAGGGAUCAUUUCUGUAGUUUGUCAUUAGAGAAGUUUCUCUGAUCUUAGAGAAUCCUGAUGAAUUUGUUUUAUUAAA
ensembl:snoRNA U3 Small nucleolar RNA U3